CCUACGGGAGGCAGCAGUGGGGGAAUUUUGGACAAUGGGCGCAAGCCUGAUCCAGCAAUGCCGCGUGAGUGAAGAAGGCCUUCGGGUUGUAAAGCUCUUUUGUCAGGGAAGAAACGGGACCGGCUAAUAUCUGGUUCUAAUGACGGUACCUGAAGAAUAAGCACCGGCUAACUACGUGCCAGCAGCCGCGGUAAUACGUAGGGUGCAAGCGUUAAUCGGAAUUACUGGGCGUAAAGCGUGCGCAGGCGGUUUUGUAAGUCUGUCGUGAAAGCCCCGGGCUUAACCUGGGAAUUGCGAUGGAGACUGCAAGGCUUGAAUCUGGCAGAGGGGGGUAGAAUUCCACGUGUAGCAGUGAAAUGCGUAGAGAUGUGGAGGAACACCGAUGGCGAAGGCAGCCCCCUGGGUCAAGAUUGACGCUCAUGCACGAAAGCGUGGGGAGCAAACAGGAUUAGAUACCCUGGUAGUCCACGCCCUAAACGAUGUCUACUAGUUGUCGGGUCUUAAUUGACUUGGUAACGCGAGCUACGUCGUGAGUAGACCGCCGNGGGAGGUACGGUCGGUCGAGUAGUUAAACGUUAAAGUAAAGUUAGUUACGGUACGUUGAGACGUGCCGACGGACGACGACGAGGGAGGAGG
rnacentral:rRNA from 1 species